rnacentral:rRNA from 1 species
ACUCCUACGGGAGGCAGCAGUCGGGAAUUUUGGGCAAUGGGCGAAAGCCUGACGCAGCGACGCCGCGUGGGGGAUGAAGGUCUUCGGAUUGUAAACCCCUUUCGGCGGGGAAGAUGGAACGGGCAACCGUUCGGACGGUACCUGCAGAAGCAGCCACGGCUAACUUCGUGCCAGCAGCCGCGGUAAUACGAAGGUGGCAAGCGUUGUUCGGAUUCACUGGGCGUACAGGGAGCGUAGGCGGUUAGGUAAGCCCUCCGUGAAAUCUCCGGGCCUAACCCGGAAAGUGCAGAGGGGACUGCUUGGCUAGAGGAUGGGAGAGGAGCGCGGAAUUCCCG